rnacentral:rRNA from 1 species
GAUCCUGGCUCAGGACGAACGCUGGCGGCGUGCCUAACACAUGCAAGUCGAACGAAGCUUGAUUUCUGAUUUUUUUUCGGAAUGACGAAUGAUAUGACUGAGUGGCGGGACGGGUGAGUAACGCGUGAGCAACCUGCCCUUCGGAACGGGAUAGUGUCUGGAAACGGACAGUAAUACCGUAUAACAUAUAUUGAUCGCAUGGUCGAUAUAUCAAAACUGAGGUGCCGAAGGAUGGG